rnacentral:rRNA from 1 species
GAUGAACGCUGGCGGCGUGCCUAAUACAUGCAAGUCGAGCGAACGGACGAGAAGCUUGCUGGUCUGAUGUUAGCGGCGGACGGGUGAGUAACACGUGGAUAACCUACCUAUAAGACUGGGAUAACUUCGGGAAACCGGCUCUAAUACCAGAUAAUAUUUUGAACCGCAUGGGUCAAAAGUGAAAGACGGUGUUGGUGUCACUUAUAGCUGGAUCCGCGUUGCAUUAGCUAGUUGGUAAGGUAAAGGCUUACCAAGGCGAGGAGGCGUAAGCGAACUGAGAGAGGGAUCGGCCACACUGGAGGGGGGACGCGGUCCAGGGGCCUACGGGACGCAGCAGUCGGGUAUCGGCCGCAGUAGGCGAAAGCCUUGCGGAACAACGGCGCGCCUGUGAUGACGGCCUUCGGAUCGUAAAACUCUGCUAUUAGGGAAGAACCGAUGUGUCAGUAACUGUGCAGAGCUUGACGGUACCUAAUAAGAAAGCCACGGCUAACUACGUG